CUCUUCAGAGUACUUAUCAAGGACCUCUACCAUCUCAUACUGGUGCCUCACAUCAUCUGGGGUUGAUAUGUUCCAAUCAGGUGACCAGUUUCGAUAAACAGCCCAAACAUCUCCACUUUUGGGGUAUAUCCGAACACAGCCACCUCUACCAGCCUUUUCACCUUUCAAAACAUGAGAGAAAAUGUUCACUUGAUCAACAACAUCAGAAUUCUGUGCUCUGAAGUGUCCACAAGAUUUAGUAAACCCAGAAUCUAUCCAAUUCACUGCCCCAAAUUCACCAUCAGUUUUAGAGUUCAAGUA
rnacentral:lncRNA from 1 species